GCUCACCCGCACACAGGCACAGAUUUGGAACUUGAUGUCUGUCAUUUUUUCCCCUCCCCUUCUUGUUUGGAGGCUUUUUAAAAGUUCCCACUGUGUUGACACGGAUGACAAUGAAAGAUCUUCUUGCUUCCCAACAUUUGAAACCUCCCAGGUUCACAAAGGAAGUUCGCCUUGAACCAUAUCAAGUAACAACACAUCCCACUGUCUCCAAUAUUUGCCUCCCCCACCCCACAACCAGUAGCUCUUUUGAGUUAAAUCUUGAUCAAUUAAAGGCAUGUCUUCUAUAAGCAACAUAAA